rnacentral:rRNA from 1 species
CGUCAAGUCAGCAUGGCCCUUACGUCCUGGGCUACACCCACGCUACAAUGGCCGGUACAACGGGCGGCGAAACCGCGAGGUGGAGCAAAUCCCUUAAAGCCGGUCUCAGUUCGGAUUGUAGGCUGCAACUCGCCUACAUGAAGCCGGAGUUGCUAGUAACCGCCGGUCAGCAUACGGCGGUGAAUAUGUUCCCGGGGCUUGUACACACCGCCCGUCACGUCAUGAAAGCUGGCAACACCCGAAGCCGGUGGGCCAACCCGCAAGGGAGGCAGCCGUCGAAGGUGGGGUCGGUGAUUGGGACGAAGUCGUAACAAGGUAGCCGUA